GGGCCUCCCCGACGCAGCCAGCUCUUCUCAGUUGUUUUCGGUCAGGUAAUUCAACUGAACUCACAGCACAUAAAUCGAAAUCUUCAGAUUUGCAUGCUAACUUCUAUUUCUACUUUCUUAAGCGAAUCUGGCUUUUAGCUAUUAUACAGAACACGCGUGAUAAAUCUUUAAAAAAAAAUAGACUAAGUCUGCGGGGGAACCUCUGGGGAAGGUGUUACUCUUGGCUCCUGACUUCAGGUACAAAGCUCUGUCGCUUCCAUUGCCCUGUUCUCCACCCCAACAAGUCUCAGUCGUUCAGGCAGGAAGCAAACAGAAGGCAGAACAGAAAGUAGUUACCAGGGCUCGUGGGCAGGGUUCCCUGGGGCAAAAGGAUGCAGGCCGGAAGCACCUGGCCUGUGGUUAGGUGGAGUGGGCUGGUCAUUUCUGAAGCAGAGGGAGGAGUGGUUUCAAUGUUUCUCUUGUCUGCCUCCUCCAGCAUAAAGAUAGAUGGAGACAGGAGAUGAGCCAGCAUCUCAGUGGCAAGACAGGAAAGCAAAGCAACACAUCCGAAGUGAAUCCAAGCCGGGGGGGUCUCUGCUGCGUUCCUCCAAGUGGGGUGCACUACAGUUCUGCAACCAACAGGGUGAACCCAGAAACCAGGCAAGGGAAAUCCCCACUGCAGACAUCCCAUGGAGUCUUGGAGAAAGAAGUCUCCAGGGGGCUCUGGCUGUGUUAGAGCUGAAAGUGUAAACCCUCAAAUGAGGCAGCCUUGGAGGGGGACCCCUGGAAAGGGAGCAUCCUGCUUCCCAGAACCAGAGUGAGGGGAAUGAGUAUCUGGGCAUAAAACAACUCACAGGUCUAAGAGUUGUCUAUUCAUAUACCGUCCGUAUCUACAUAAGGUUUUCUCUUCGCUGAUUGGAUAUCUUUCCAUAAACUUGCAUUUAGAGCACUGAUUGACUUUCCAGCCCCAGCCUAUCUGGAGAAGAUACUCCCGGGGAAUGGGAGAGAAGAUAAUAAACCUGAGAGCCUCACGGAACCGUUCACUUGUCCAGGCAUAAACCAGUGGAGAUGGUGCUCGGCACUCUGUGAACUCUGAUUUCCUUGCUUGAUGUGUGACCUUGGACACUUGCCAGGGCCCUUCCUCCCCAGCAAGUGGCAGCUGGGGCUGUAAAUGGAACUGUGGCUACAAAGCUGAAGCCUCAUGGUUGUCUGGAAUAAGAAGUCCAUCCCUAGUCCUGUGGCAGCUCCGACUUCAGGCUACUGGGAGGUGAGGAAAGGAGAGACCUAGGAAGAUUGCACUUUCCUGACAACUUUGGCAGCUGGUAGCAGGGCCAGAGGGCUUCACCUGGUCAAGGAAAUGUGAGCAGACGUGAUUUAUCAUUUCCAGUUCUUUGCAGCCAAUCUCUUAACUCAAGCAAAGGCCCCACAGGCAAAAGUAUCCCGUGAUGCGAUCCAAAACUCCUUCCUCGAGCAACAGGGACAGCCAGCAAGAUUGUGCGUGACUGACCCCAAGACAAUGAUCCACCUGACUUUUACUGCCCACCUACACAUAGUCACCAAGCCCUAUCCUACAUUUUCUUUAUAUGAACCAAGAAGUAUUUUCAGCACUUUGGAGACCAUUUUUGAAGAAAUAUUAGUCUGCUGCUGUCUUCCUAGUGUUGGCCUCAGUGAAAUAAAUCCCUUUCUUCUUUCACCACCACUCGUCUCUGCC